UAGCUUAGUUGGUAAAGAAUCUGCUUGCAAUGCAGGAGACCCGGGUUCGAUUCCUGG
rnacentral:tRNA from 1 species